UGCCAUCCGCCGCGGUAAUACGGAGGGUCCAAGCGAUAAUCGGAAUUACUGGGCGUAAAGCGCGCGUAGGCGGAUUGUCAAGUUGGAUGUGAAAUCCCUGGGCUCAACCUAGGAACUGCAUUCAAAACUUAUAGACUAGAGUACGGUAGAGGAGAGUAGAAUUCCUGGUGUAGCGGUGAAAUGCGUAGAUAUCAGGAGGAAUACCAAUGGCGAAGGCAACUCUCUGGAUCGACACUGACGCUGAGGUGCGAAAGCGUGGGUAGCAAACAGGAUUAGAUA
rnacentral:rRNA from 1 species